GGGUUAUUUAAACAUUUAAGCAUGUAAACAUGUUUUAGUAGAAACCCAAAAUACAAGUAUGAAACUGAAAAUGAGCACGAUAUGGGACCUUUAAGAGAACCACAGGCCAUCACCUUUGGUCCUUGUUAAAGGAUCGGGGCUUGCCUCAUGCAAGUGAAAGAUGGACGGAACCAUAAUAAAUAAGUCAAAACAGAAACUAUGAGUGCUGGACAAAAAAAAACAAAAAAACAAAGGGUUUCAGACAGGAACAGUUUUUGCAUUGGUAUCCCGAAUGUCUAAUCAUUUUUAGCUGCGACCAGCGGCUCUAUAGCUCUAUUGCUCUAUAGCUCUUAAGCUCUAUAGCUCUAUAGCUCACUCCGUUGGCCGGUUGGUCCACAAAAGAAAGUGUGUGGGUGUGAUGGUGUGACCAUGAAGUAUAUCUACCUCUUUCAUGAGACUCUCGACGGACCACAACAACCAAACAAGAUGAGGAUCACAUGACCUCCAGUACAUAAACUGCAGAAGCCAUCACUGGACUAGUUUUCCGUAGCCUUGCUGGCUUGUCUACUUGUAUCGUAGAAGCUCCACCACACAGAACAUACUGUACUGUACCGUACAUCCGCACAAGCUAUAUAGACAACCACAGUUCUCUCAGACCUGAACUAACUGGAUGAAAGUACAGGCCAUCACCUCUGGCUCUGGUUAUGGGGUUGAGGGGCAGGAGUGAUGCAGUGAGGCAGAGGGAAAGAUGAGUGAAGAUGACCCUGUGAAGGAGAUGACCCAAAGGCAGUGUUGGCAUAUGUCUUGUGUUGUGAAAUAAAUUCCCUAUUUAAAUUGGGCAAAAAAAAAAAAAACAAUAAAAAAAUACAGUUAAAUAAUAAUAAAAGAAUCUACGCAUGAACUUUUCAAGUGAGAGCGAUUUCCUAUACUGAAUAAAAGAACACCUUGUACUUUGAUGCUAUAUGUGCCAUAGGACUGAGAGUUCUUUGAAACAGUUGGAGCUCAAAUCAAAUGCGUUCUACAAAACUCACACUUAUUCCCACUGUGCACCUGCACUACAGAUCCUUGAAAUCCCACAAUGAUGUUCUGCAAGCUAAAAUGAAAAUAGAACAAUUCUAGAAAGUACAUUAUUUAUUUCUUCCCACAGUAAGUGCCUUACUCAAACACUUCAAGUAAACAGCAUAUGUUAUGUUAUGUGAUGUUUUUUUUUUGUUUUUUUAUCGUCGACACAAUAUUAUUUAGUGCAGAUGAGGACAUGAGCAGCUUUGCCAACUCUACUGUGAGGACCUAAAGGUCAUUGUGUGGAGAU